UCUGGGUCAUGCUCUAUGAAGAGACUGUUGUUAUCAAUGAGUUCGAUGCAUAUAUUUGUUAGCACUGACAGAUUCAGACACAGAUAUUUUCCACCUCCAAUGUUCAGAUCUGGUGUAGCUGCUGGGAGCCCUGGGCUGGAUAUGUACCCAGGUGACUCAUGGGGAAGGAUGCACCCUUCUGAGAAGCAUCACCUUUCUCAAGAAGCAUGACAGAGCUCCCGAUAUUAGACUUUCAAGACGUCUACCAGGCCUUCUUUGGAAUAAAUUGUGUCAUUGAAUGGCCACCUGCAUCCCACACAACAGCUUUAAAGGAGAAAACCCCAUGGAGAAAGAACUGAGACUGAGAGGAGUUCCAAACUAAAAAUAAACCACAGAUCUCAGCAAGGCUCUAUACCCUGGCUGUUGCCCUUGUCACUGACUUUUCCUUAUUGAAAGCUACUCAGAGACCUGAGGAAAGCUUUGUGCUAAUACCGAUAUGAUUGCUGUCAUCGCCACUACCUGGGUGAGUGCCAUUCAACAUUUACACAGUGCAAGGUGCUAUGUAGG
rnacentral:lncRNA from 1 species